CGGGGUGUAGUGUAACGGUAGCACGAGUCCUUCGGGAGGAUUUAGUUGGAGUUCGAAUCUCCACACCCCGACAA
rnacentral:tRNA from 2 species